rnacentral:rRNA from 1 species
GAUGAACGCUGGCGGCGUGCCUAAUACAUGCAAGUCGAGCGAACAGACGAGGAGCUUGCUCCUCUGACAUUAGCGGCGGACGGGUGAGUAACACGUGGAUAACCUACCUAUAAGACUGGGAUAACUUCGGGAAACCGGAGCUAAUACCGGAUAAUAUAUUGAACCGCAUGGUUCAAUAGUGAAAGACGGUUUUGCUGUCACUUAUAGAUGGAUCCGCGCCGCAUUAGCUAGUUGGUAAGGUAACAGCUUACCAAGGCAACGAUGCGUAGCCGACCUGAGAGGGUGAUCGGCCACACUGGAACUGAGACACGGUCCAGACUCCUACGGGAGGCAGCAGUAGGGAAUCUUCCGCAAUGGGCGAAAGCCUGACGGAGCAACGCCGCGUGAGUGAUGAAGGUCUUCGGAUCGUAAAACUCUGUUAUUAGGGAAGAACAAAUGUGUAAGUAACUAUGCACGUCUUGACGGAACCUAAUCAGAAAGCCACGGCUAACUACGUG